rnacentral:rRNA from 1 species
AGUGAACGCUGGCGGUAGGCCUAACACAUGCAAGUCGAACGGCAGCACAGUAAGAGCUUGCUCUUACGGGUGGCGAGUGGCGGACGGGUGAGGAAUACAUCGGAAUCUACUUUUUCGUGGGGGAUAACGUAGGGAAACUUACGCUAAUACCGCAUACGACCUACGGAUGAAAGCAGGGGAUCUUCGGACCUUGCGCGAUUGAAUGAGCCGAUGUCGGAUUAGCUAGUUGGCGGGGUAAAGGCCCACCAAGGCGACGAUCCGUAGCUGGUCUGAGAGGAUGAUCAGCCACACUGGAACUGAGACACGGUCCAGACUCCUACGGGAGGCAGCAGUGGGGAAUAUUGGACAAUGGGCGCAAGCCUGAUCCAGCCAUACCGCGUGGGUGAAGAAGGCCUUCGGGUUGUAAAGCCCUUUUGUUGGGAAGGAAAAGCAGCAGGUUAAUACCCCGCUGUUCUGACGGUACCCAAAGAAUAAGCACCGGCUAACUUCGUG